UCGAGCGAGAAAGGGGAGCAAUCCCUGAGUAGAGCGGCGUACGGGUGAGUAACACGUGGAUCAUUUACCUUUUAGUGGGGAAUAACCCUGGGAAACCGAGGCUAAUACCGCAUAAUCCUGAGAAGGGAAAGCAGCAAUGCGCUGAAAGAGGAGUCCGCGGCCGAUUAGCUAGUUGGUGAGGUAACGGCCCACCAAGGCGACGAUCGGUAGCCGGCCUGAGAGGGCACACGGCCACACUGGCACUGAAACACGGGCCAGACUCCUACGGGAGGCAGCAGUGGGGAAUCUUGCACAAUGGAGGAAACUCUGAUGCAGCGACGCCGCGUGAGCGAUGAAGCCCCUCGGGGUGUAAAGCUCUUUCGACGGGAACGAUAAUGACGGUACCCGGAGAAGAAGCUGCGGCUAACUACGUGCCAGCAGCCGCGGUAAUACGUAGGCAGCGAGCGUUGUUCGGAAUUACUGGGCGUAAAGAGUGUGUAGGCGGUGCCCUAAGUUCGGUGUGAAAUCUCCUGGCUCAACUGGGAGGGUGCGCCGGANACUGGGGUGCUCGAGCGUGGGAGAGGAAAGCGGAAUUCCUGGUGUAGCGGUGAAAUGCGUAGAUAUCAGGAGGAACACCUGCGGUGUAGACAGCUUUCUGGACCAUAGCUGACGCUGAGACACGAAAGCGUGGGUAGCAAACAGGAUUAGAUACCCUGGUAGUCCACGCCCUAAACGAUGCAUACU
rnacentral:rRNA from 1 species